rnacentral:rRNA from 1 species
ACUCCUACGGGAGGCAGCAGUGAGGAAUAUUGGACAAUGGGCGGGAGCCUGAUCCAGCCAUGCCGCGUGCAGGAAGACUGCCCUAUGGGUUGUAAACUGCUUUUAUACGGGAAGAAACACUCCCUCGUGAGGGAAUUUGACGGUACCGUAAGAAUAAGGAUCGGCUAACUCCGUGCCAGCAGCCGCGGUAAUACGGAGGGUGCGAGCGUUAAUCGGAAUUACUGGGCGUAAAGCGCAUGCAGGUGGUUUGUUAAGUCAGAUGUGAAAGCCCGGGGCUCAACCUCGGAAUUGCAUUUGAAACUGGCAGACUAGAGUACUGUAGAGGGGGUAGAAUUUCAGGUGUAGCGGUGAAAUGCGUAGAGAUCUGAAGGAAUACCGGUGGCGAAGGCGGCCCCCUGGACAGAUACUGACACUCAGAUGCGAAAGCGUGGGGAGCAAACAGGAUUAGAUACCCUGGUAGACUGUC